UGGGUUUCAUCCAGGGUCCUGAUUU
rnacentral:piRNA from 1 species